rnacentral:rRNA from 1 species
AACCGGAUUAGAUACCCUGGUAGUCCUCGCUGUAAGCGAUGUCGAUUUGGAGGUUGCGCCCUUGAGGGGUGGCUUCCGUAGCUAACGCGUUAAAUCGACCGCCUGGGGAGUACGGCCGCAAGGUUAAAACUCAAAUGAAUUGACGGGGGCCCGCACAAGCGGUGGAGCAUGUGGUUUAAUUCGAUGCAACGCGAAGAACCUUACCUACUCUUGACAUCCAGAGAACUUUCCAGAGAUGGAGGGGUGCCUUCGGGAGCUCUGAGACAGGUGCUGCAUGGCUGUCGUCAGCUCGUGUUGUGAAAUGUUGGAUUAAGUCCCGCAACGAGCGCAACCCUUAUCCUUUGUUGCCAGCGAUAAAGUCGGGAACUCAAAGGAGACUGCCGGUGAUAAACCGGAGGAAGGUGGGGAUGACGUCAAGUCAUCAUGGCCCUUACGAGUAGGGCUACACACGUGCUACAAUGGCGUAUACAAAGAGAAGCGACCUCGCGAGAGCAAGCGGACCUCACAAAGUACGUCGUAGUCCGGAUUGGAGUCUGCAACUCGACUCCAUGAAGUCGGAAUCGCUAGUAAUCGUAGAUCAGAAUGCUGCGGUGAAUACGU